CCGCUACCACCUCCUCCGCCGUUCUUCUAUUCCCUUUGGGUCGCUGGUUCUCUAGGAUCCUUGGUUUCUUCUCACCCCGCCUCUCUCACCAUGUCUUCUCUCGCUCUGCCCAGUUGCCGUUGUGUGUCCCCGACGACCGCUGCCGCUGUUCCCUCCCCAUCGACCGCUGCCGCCGUUCCCUCCCCGUCAUCCGCCGCAUGGAUCAAGUUCUCGCUACCAUCGUCGUUCUGUCUAAUACUCUUUCUUAGGGAGGAAGAUAGAGGAUGUGAAGGCUACUAGAAAGCAUGGGAGCCCAUCCAGAUCCAUCUUAGGAGCCCACCACUUCCGUUGUUCCGCACCUCGCCCUCCAGCAGCGACGCCUUCGAUCUUUCUCUGAGCCGAGCUCCUCGUGUGACUGUGCUCCGAUGGCGCAGCUUCAGGGGAACAGGAUUGUGAAAGAAAAGAAAAGAAAAGGAAUAAGCUGCAGUAAAAUUUUGGUGAAGAACAUUUUUCCAUAGCUUGUGAACACGUUGGUCCUCAGAUUUUGAUUUUUUUAUGAUUUAUAGUUCAAGCAUCCUUUUUGUAUUCGAUAACUUUAUUUGUUCGCAUACUGCUUGAUGUUGCAUGGUCUAUAGUCAAAUCACCACUUGAAGAAGAAGAGGUGGGUGCAGGCGCUCAUGGACCAGCUCAACCUGCAGGACACGGGCAAUACCGCGGCGAGGGUCGGUGCGUGCCGAUAGGCACAGACACCAUCCAUACCCAUGAGAACGGUCUGGUUCAGCAGCUGCAUGCACAUCUGGUGGGUGCGACCUCCAUGCUUGAGCAACGACGACCAGCACGGCAAACAAAUAGGAGAAUUGGCUUUGCUCUCCAUAGGGAAUACAACCAUGAAUUGUUCCACUUUUGCAAAGUUUGGAGAUGGUCGAGAUCUGCAUGUGCAGAAGCAUUUCAAGUAAAUUAGGUCUGAAUGGCAGGUACCAUAUGGUAGGAAAUAUGUUCUAUAUGGUGGUAUUCCCGAGAUACAUAUUUCAUCAUAAGUUGCUCUGAAUAAAGUAAAAUGUGAUCUCAGGUAUUAGCUUACUCUUAUGUAAGUAAAAGCUGGUCACAACAAUCUAAUUUGUGAUGACCUAUAGAAAUAUGAAAAAAGAGAGAAUGCGCUUGAAUAUUAACUGCGUUGAUGCCUAUUCAAUCAAACCAAUCAUUAUUGUUACCUUAAGUGUUUCCAUUAUAUGACAUUUUGUGUCUACACUUCAAAAAAUGAAGAGUUCAACAUGAAUGGGGACAUUAAAUAAGUCCAAGUGAGGUGCUUAUUUAAUUUUAUGUUUUUUGGGGGUAAACAUGGAUUCCAUCUUAUGAUUUACACUAACAAAAGAUGCACCAGCUCAGUUUUUAUCCAUCUACAGAACUAAUAAAGUAAAGAUAUCCUAUUGUUGGACAGAAAUCUUGACAUAUGGAUUCUUAUAGCAUGAUAGGGAGCAGGUGCGGCUCCCAAAGCCAUGUUGUUGCAGUUUUUUUUCUUCAGAUCUUGGAACAGCAAGAUCACUGUAUACAAUUGUCUUCAAUUUGUACAUCAAUUGGAAGAAAAAUCUAAACUUACAUCUCCUGCUAAGAAUGAUAGGGUAUUCUUGCCCAGUUUAUAGGUCUUGGUCAGUUUUUGCAUGUUUUUUAUUGUUUUAUCUUCGACAAGCUUAUAAUGUUCAGUGGAUUCAUACUUUGUCCAAAAUUGCAAAGGAGCUUAUACAGUGACCACAUGCAGAAUAUAGAUAUAGCUCUCAAGGUACUUUCCUUUGUUAUGUACUGCAAAUUAUUUUGUGUGAUAAAGCAACCAUUUUGAAAAUCAGAAGUGCAGACGUUGUCAUAGAAGGAUAACUACGAACCUUGCAUUAUAUACUAUUGUCAGCGCAAGCAGUGGGUUGAAGUUUAUCUAGAACAGUGUGUUUCCUUCACAAAAAACUUGUGUCAUCUGACCAGCUAUUGUGGCACACCGAGCAACCUGUGGUGCUACUCAUCAUUGUUUAAUUAGGGAACUAACCAUUCAUGUGUUGCUACUUGCUACCUACAAGGUAUAUCUACUUAUGAAAAAUGUGGUGCACCUGUAAUCUAGCAUC